rnacentral:rRNA from 1 species
UACGGGGGGGGCGAGCGUUGUUCGGAAUUACUGGGCGUAAAGGGUUUGUAGGUGGUCUGCUAAGUCAGACGUGAAAUCCCUCAGCUUAACUGGGGAACUGCGUCUGAUACUGGCGGACUUGAGCACUGUAGAGGCAGGCGGAAUUCCGGGUGUAGCGGUGGAAUGCGUAGAGAUCCGGAAGAACACCGGUGGCGAAGGCGGCCUGCUGGGCAGUAGCUGACACUGAGGCGCGACAGCGUGGGGAGCAAACAGG